rnacentral:rRNA from 1 species
GACGAACGCUGGCGGCGUGCUUAACACAUGCAAGUCGAACGGAAAGGCGCUGCUUUUGUGGGGUGCUCGAGUGGCGAACGGGUGAGUAACACGUGAGUAACCUGCCCUUGACUUUGGGAUAACAUCAGGAAAAUGGGGCUAAUACCGGAUAGGAGAUCCUGCUGCAUGGUGGGGGUUGGAGAGUUUCGGCGGUUGGGUAUGGACUCGCGGGGUAUCAGCUGGUUGGUGGGGUAGGGGCUUACCAAGGCUUUGACGGGUAGGCGGCCUGAGAGGGUGACCGGCCACAUUGGGACUGCGGUACGGCCCAGACUCCUACGGGGGGCAGCAGUGGGGAAUCUUGCACAAUGGGCGGAAGCCUGAUGCAGCAACGCCGCGUGCGGGAUGACGGCCUUCGGGUUGUAAACCGCUUUCGCCUGUGACGAAGCGUGAGUGACGGUAAUGGGUAAAGAAGCACCGGCUAACUACGUG